rnacentral:rRNA from 1 species
GCCUGCAGCCAUAACAUCUGGGGUUAUGAUCUUAUUCAGUCUUAUAAAACAAGCAGGGUCAGGCUUGGUCAAUACUCAAAUAGGACACCUACAUGGUAAACCCAGAUGCUACAAAUC